AGUGAGCGCUGGCGGUAGGCCUAACACAUGCAAGUCGAACGGCAGCACAGUAAGAGCUUGCUCUUACGGGUGGCGAGUGGCGGACGGGUGAGGAAUACAUCGGAAUCUACUUUUUCGUGGGGGAUAACGUAGGGAAACUUACUCUAAUACCGCAUACGACCUACGGGUGAAAGCAGGGGAUCUUCGGACCUUGCGCGAUUGAAUGAGCCGAUGUCGGAUUAGCUAGUUGGCGGGGUAAAGGCCCACCAAGGCGACGAUCCGUAGCUGGUCUGAGAGGAUGAUCAGCCACACUGGAACUGAGACACGGUCCAGACUCCUACGGGAGGCAGCAGUGGGGAAUAUUGGACAAUGGGCGCAAGCCUGAUCCAGCCAUACCGCGUGGGUGAAGAAGGCCUUCGGGUUGUAAAGCCCUUUUGUUGGGAAAGAAAAGCAGCAGGUUAAUACCCCGCUGUUCUGACGGUACCCAAAGAAUAAGCACCGGCUAACUACGUG
rnacentral:rRNA from 1 species